rnacentral:rRNA from 1 species
CUACGGGGUGCAGCAGUGAGGAAUAUUGCACAAUGGGGGGAACCCUGAUGCAGCAACGCCGCGUGGAGGAUGACGCAUUUCGGUGUGUAAACUCCUUUUAUAUGUCAAGAAAAUGACGGUAGCAUAUGAAUAAGCACCGGCUAACUCCGUGCCAGCAGCCGCGGUAAUACGGAGGGUGCAAGCGUUACUCGGAAUCACUGGGCGUAAAGGACGCGUAGGCGGGGUGGAAAGUCGGGUGUGAAAUCCUACAGCUUAACUGUAGAACUGCACUUGAAACUUCUAAUCUAGAGUAUGGGAGGGGGAGAUGGAAUUAGUGGUGUAGGGGUAAAAUCCGUAGAUAUCACUAGGAAUACCUAAAGCGAAGGCGAUCUCCUGGAACAUUACUGACGCUAAGGCGUGAAAGCGUGGGGAGCAAACAGGAUUAGAUACCCGCGUAGUC